AUUGAACGCUGGCGGCAUGCUUUACACAUGCAAGUCGAACGGUAACAGGCCGCAAGGUGCUGACGAGUGGCGAACGGGUGAGUAAUGCAUCGGAACGUGCGCAGACGUGGGGGAUAACGCAGCGAAAGCUGUGCUAAUACCGCAUACGAUCUAUGGAUGAAAGCGGGGGACCGUAUGGCCUCGCGCGAGUGGAGCGGCCGAUGUCAGAUUCGUUAGUUGGUGGGGAAAAGGCCCACCAAGGCGACGAUCUGGAGAAGGUCGGAGAGGACGACCAGCGACACUGGGACUGAGACACGGCCCAGACUCCUACGGGAGGCAGCAGUGGGGAAUUUUGGACAAUGGGCGCAAGCCUGAUCCAGCAAUGCCGCGUGCAGGAAGAAGGCCUUCGGGUUGUAAACUGCUUUUGUACGGAACGAAACGGUCUGGGUUAAUACCCUGGGCUAAUGACGGUACCGUAAGAAUAAGCACCGGCUAACUACGUGCCAGCCGCCGCCGUAAAAC
rnacentral:rRNA from 1 species